rnacentral:lncRNA from 1 species
UUACUGUGUUUUUCAGAAUCAGAAGUUCAAAUUUCAACAACUAAUCAAGCUCCUACUCUACUGAAAGAACCAGAAGCUGCUUUGGCAAAACCAAAACAAGCCACUAAAAAGAAAGAACCAGCAGUGCCUAAAGAAAAAGCCAAAGUAGCUCCUACAAAGAAGGACCCCACAGUUACUAAAGCCAAAGCAAAACCUUCAGUGGCAAAGAAAGAGCCAACAGCUGUGAAAGAGAAGUCUAAAAGGACAGAGCGAAUGAUCUCUAAAGAAAAGGCUAAACCUAUCUCUACUAAGAAAGAAGAGAAAGCUGGAAAAGAAGUGAAGCCCAAAGCAGAGGUCAAAAAGAAGGCUGCACCAACACCGAGAGUCAAUCAAGCCACUGAAGAAGUUGUGGCUGAGACACCAGCACCAGCAAAACUUGGGAGAACUUCAAAAACUUCCAGGUGA